CUGGAUAGCAACAUACAUAGCAAGAGUGUUGAAGGUUUCAAACAUUAUUUGAGUCAUCUCCUCACGGUUAGCCUUAGGAUUGAGAGAAGAACCUGGAUAGCAACAAACAUAGCAUGAGUGUUGAAUGUUUCAAACAUGAAUUAUUUCAAACAGUUGCCUACAAUAUCCAUUAGAUCGGGGUGAGUGAUUAUCAACUAAUGGGUAUAUCAGAGGAAUGCAUGUCAAUCAGCACCAGAUUUCACAAUCCGGAUUCUAAUUGAGCAAAACUCCAUAAUGUUCACACUUCUAAACUUCCAUUUGACUCAAACUGAGAGCAGAAGAGAAAAGAUAGCGACUCUAUAGCCAUGAUGCAACAUAUGAUGAAUGUUUCA